rnacentral:misc_RNA from 1 species
GGAAGUAAAAGUCGUAACGAGGUUUCCGUAGGUGAACCUGCGGAAGGAUCAUUCAUAAUAAAGUGUUUUAUGGCACUUUUUAAAAAUCCAUAUCCACCUUGUGUGCAAUGUUAGAUCUCGUCAAUCUUGGCGAGAUUUUUAUACAUCAACUCAUUCUUUAACUAAUUUGUCUGAAAAAUAUUAUGAAUACUUAAUUCAAAAUACAACUUUUAACAACGGAUCUCUUGGCUCUC